AUGUGGGGCCUGGCAGAGCUUGGCAGUGGGGUGGCUGCCUUUUGGGGGGAGAGUGGGGGGCAGGAGACCCCCAGGACCCUCUGCGAUGUCCUCACUGUUGCGGGGAUCCCAGCCCCACGUGGGACCCAGCCCCAUGGGGAUGCCACCCCAAGGGGGUCCCAGGCCCCUCUGUGUCCCAGCCCCACGUGGGACCCAGCCCCAUGCAGAUCUGAUCCCCACAGGGGUCCAUUCCCCAUGGGGGGUCCCAUCCUUGUGGGGUUCCCACUUCCACACGAGUCCCAGCCCCCGAGUGGACCCAAACCCCCGUGGAUCCCAACCCCCCGGGGGUCCCACCCCACAGCGCUGCCCCAUGGCACACUGACCCCACAGGCUGCGCUGUGGGGCCGCAGUGGGGAUUCUGGGCAGUGCUCCUGGCUCUGGGCUCCCCCCCCGCAGAACAGGGCUGGUGCCCCCCCCCGUGCUCCGCUUUGCUCCCUGGGGACGCAGGAGACACGGCCCCGUGCACCGGGCCGGCCGGGUGGCACGGACUUUGUGCCCCGUGGGGACACGGCCUGGGACCCCCUGUGGAAAUGGGGAUGGGGCAAAGGAGCGGCAGCGCAACGCUGCGCAGUGCUGUGCAGUGCGGUGCUGGACAAUGCCGUGCAGCGCAGUGCCACGCAGCACAGCAACAGGCAACACCGUGCCACGCAGCACAGCACAGCACCACGCAGCACAGCACAGCACCACGCAGCACACUGCAAUGCCAUGCAGCACAGCGCAGUGCCAUACAGCACAGAGCAGUGCCACGCAGCACAGAGCAGUGCCAUACAGCACAGAGCAGUGCCACGCAGCACAAGAACAGGCAACACCGUGCCACGCAGCAUAGCACAGCACCACGCAGCACAGCACCGCACUGUGCCGCCUCGUGCAGUGCAGGGCAUUGCCCCCCAGCACUGCGCUACACUGCAGUGCUGUGCAGCGACGCUGUGCAGUGCUGCCACCGCCUCCAGGGCUUUCCUUUGGAGGUCGCGUGGUCCCCCUGCCCUUCGGGAAACAUUUUGUCCCUGA
rnacentral:lncRNA from 1 species